GGGUUGUGAGGUUAAGCGACUAAGCGUACACGGUGGAUGCCCUGGCAGUCAGAGGCGAUGAAGGACGUGCUAAUCUGCGAUAAGCGUCGGUAAGGUGAUAUGAACCGUUAUAACCGGCGAUUUCCGAAUGGGGAAACCCAGUGUGUUUCGACACACUAUCAUUAACUGAAUCCAUAGGUUAAUGAGGCGAACCGGGGGAACUGAAACAUCUAAGUACCCCGAGGAAAAGAAAUCAACCGAGAUUCCCCCAGUAGCGGCGAGCGAACGGGGAGCAGCCCAGAGCCUGAAUCAGUGUGUGUGUUAGUGGAAGCGUCUGGAAAGGCGCGCGAUACAGGGUGACAGCCCCGUACACAAAAAUGCACAUACUGUGAGCUCGAUGAGUAGGGCGGGACACGUGGUAUCCUGUCUGAAUAUGGGGGGACCAUCCUCCAAGGCUAAAUACUCCUGACUGACCGAUAGUGAACCAGUACCGUGAGGGAAAGGCGAAAAGAACCCCGGCGAGGGGAGUGAAAAAGAACCUGAAACCGUGUACGUACAAGCAGUGGGAGCACGCUUAGGCGUGUGACUGCGUACCUUUUGUAUAAUGGGUCAGCGACUUAUAUUCUGUAGCAAGGUUAACCGAAUAGGGGAGCCGAAGGGAAACCGAGUCUUAACUGGGCGUUAAGUUGCAGGGUAUAGACCCGAAACCCGGUGAUCUAGCCAUGGGCAGGUUGAAGGUUGGGUAACACUAACUGGAGGACCGAACCGACUAAUGUUGAAAAAUUAGCGGAUGACUUGUGGCUGGGGGUGAAAGGCCAAUCAAACCGGGAGAUAGCUGGUUCUCCCCGAAAGCUAUUUAGGUAGCGCCUCGUGAAUUCAUCUCCGGGGGUAGAGCACUGUUUCGGCAAGGGGGUCAUCCCGACUUACCAACCCGAUGCAAACUGCGAAUACCGGAGAAUGUUAUCACGGGAGACACACGGCGGGUGCUAACGUCCGUCGUGAAGAGGGAAACAACCCAGACCGCCAGCUAAGGUCCCAAAGUCAUGGUUAAGUGGGAAACGAUGUGGGAAGGCCCAGACAGCCAGGAUGUUGGCUUAGAAGCAGCCAUCAUUUAAAGAAAGCGUAAUAGCUCACUGGUCGAGUCGGCCUGCGCGGAAGAUGUAACGGGGCUAAACCAUGCACCGAAGCUGCGGCAGCGACGCUUAUGCGUUGUUGGGUAGGGGAGCGUUCUGUAAGCCUGUGAAGGUGUACUGUGAGGUAUGCUGGAGGUAUCAGAAGUGCGAAUGCUGACAUAAGUAACGAUAAAGCGGGUGAAAAGCCCGCUCGCCGGAAGACCAAGGGUUCCUGUCCAACGUUAAUCGGGGCAGGGUGAGUCGACCCCUAAGGCGAGGCCGAAAGGCGUAGUCGAUGGGAAACAGGUUAAUAUUCCUGUACUUGGUGUUACUGCGAAGGGGGGACGGAGAAGGCUAUGUUGGCCGGGCGACGGUUGUCCCGGUUUAAGCGUGUAGGCUGGUUUUCCAGGCAAAUCCGGAAAAUCAAGGCUGAGGCGUGAUGACGAGGCACUACGGUGCUGAAGCAACAAAUGCCCUGCUUCCAGGAAAAGCCUCUAAGCAUCAGGUAACAUCAAAUCGUACCCCAAACCGACACAGGUGGUCAGGUAGAGAAUACCAAGGCGCUUGAGAGAACUCGGGUGAAGGAACUAGGCAAAAUGGUGCCGUAACUUCGGGAGAAGGCACGCUGAUAUGUAGGUGAAGUCCCUCGCGGAUGGAGCUGAAAUCAGUCGAAGAUACCAGCUGGCUGCAACUGUUUAUUAAAAACACAGCACUGUGCAAACACGAAAGUGGACGUAUACGGUGUGACGCCUGCCCGGUGCCGGAAGGUUAAUUGAUGGGGUUAGCGCAAGCGAAGCUCUUGAUCGAAGCCCCGGUAAACGGCGGCCGUAACUAUAACGGUCCUAAGGUAGCGAAAUUCCUUGUCGGGUAAGUUCCGACCUGCACGAAUGGCGUAAUGAUGGCCAGGCUGUCUCCACCCGAGACUCAGUGAAAUUGAACUCGCUGUGAAGAUGCAGUGUACCCGCGGCAAGACGGAAAGACCCCGUGAACCUUUACUAUAGCUUGACACUGAACAUUGAGCCUUGAUGUGUAGGAUAGGUGGGAGGCUUUGAAGUGUGGACGCCAGUCUGCAUGGAGCCGACCUUGAAAUACCACCCUUUAAUGUUUGAUGUUCUAACGUGGACCCGUAAUCCGGGUUGCGGACAGUGUCUGGUGGGUAGUUUGACUGGGGCGGUCUCCUCCUAAAGAGUAACGGAGGAGCACGAAGGUUGGCUAAUCCUGGUCGGACAUCAGGAGGUUAGUGCAAUGGCAUAAGCCAGCUUGACUGCGAGCGUGACGGCGCGAGCAGGUGCGAAAGCAGGUCAUAGUGAUCCGGUGGUUCUGAAUGGAAGGGCCAUCGCUCAACGGAUAAAAGGUACUCCGGGGAUAACAGGCUGAUACCGCCCAAGAGUUCAUAUCGACGGCGGUGUUUGGCACCUCGAUGUCGGCUCAUCACAUCCUGGGGCUGAAGUAGGUCCCAAGGGUAUGGCUGUUCGCCAUUUAAAGUGGUACGCGAGCUGGGUUUAGAACGUCGUGAGACAGUUCGGUCCCUAUCUGCCGUGGGCGCUGGAGAAUUGAGGGGGGCUGCUCCUAGUACGAGAGGACCGGAGUGGACGCAUCACUGGUGUUCGGGUUGUCAUGCCAAUGGCACUGCCCGGUAGCUAAAUGCGGAAGAGAUAAGUGCUGAAAGCAUCUAAGCACGAAACUUGCCCCGAGAUGAGUUCUCCCUGACUCCUUGAGAGUCCUGAAGGAACGUUGAAGACGACGACGUUGAUAGGCCGGGUGUGUAAGCGCAGCGAUGCGUUGAGCUAACCGGUACUAAUGAACCGUGAGGCUUAACCUUACAACGCCGAAG
rnacentral:rRNA from 1 species